rnacentral:misc_RNA from 1 species
UCGAGUGUUACAACUCCCAAACCCUUUGUGAACCUUACCUACCGUUGCUUCGGCGGGACUGCCCCGGCGCCUCUGCGCGUCGGAACCAGGCGCCCGCCGGGGGACCGAAACUCUUGAUUGUCUUAGUGGUAUUCUCUCUGAGUGGCACAAGCAAAAUAAAAUUA